rnacentral:rRNA from 1 species
UACGUAGGGUGCAAGCGUUGUCCGGAAUUAUUGGGCGUAAAGAGUUUGUAGGCGGUUUGUCGCGUCUGCUGUGAAAUUUCGGGGCUCAACCCCGAACUUGCAGUGGGUACGGGCAGACUAGAGUGUGGUAGGGGAGACUGGAAUUCCUGGUGUAGCGGUGAAAUGCGCAGAUAUCAGGAGGAACACCGAUGGCGAAGGCAGGUCUCUGGGCCACUACUGACGCUGAGAAGCGAAAGCAUGGGGAGCGAACAGG